rnacentral:lncRNA from 1 species
AUUCCAGACCAGUCGCCGUAUUCACUCCCUGCAGACCAGCUCCCCAGGAGCAUCUCAAAGAUGGAAGAAGUCACAAGAGAAGGUCACACCCACCUGACAAGAACAACCUUCAAAACCAUAAUCUUGGAGCCUCUGGGUCACACACAGUCACCCCUUUGGCUGAGCAAAGCCGACCGACUCUCAGCGUGGAACUGGUGAAGGGCGAGGCUCCUGGCUCCCCUCCCCCACCACCACCUGAGGGCUGGAGCAUCCCAGGGAGGGACUGGAGGCAAGGCCUGCGUCACCCCCGGGUGGAUGCUGGCGGGCCGUGGCCCAAGGCUGCCAGGGUGGAAACAGAAGCAUUGAGAGGGG